rnacentral:misc_RNA from 1 species
GAUGAAGAACGUAGCGAAAUGCGAUACGUAAUGUGAAUUGCAGAAUUCAGUGAAUCAUCGAAUCUUUGAACGCAUAUUGCGCUCUCUGGUAUUCCGGAGAGCAUGCUUGUUUGAGUAUCAGUAAACACCUCAACUUCCAUAUCUUUUUUGAAAUGGGAGUUGGACUUGAGUGAUCCCAACGCUUUUCCUCACCGAAAAGUGGCGGGUUACUUGAAAAGCAGGUGCAGCUGGACUUUUCUCUGAGCUAUAAGCAUAUCUAUUUAGUCUGCCUAAAAAACAGAUUAUUACCUUUGCUGCAGCUAACAUAAAGGAGAUUAGUUCUUGUGCCGACUGAUGCAGGAUUCACAAAAACGGCUUCGGCCGACUUUGUAAACUCGAUCUCAAAUCAAGUAAGACUACCCGCUGAACUUAAGCAUAUCAAUAAGCGGAGGA